GCGACGAGAGGUAGAAGCACAGGGCGAAGAUGAGCCACCAGCUGGCGGCGCACAAGCUCAGUUUUUUUAGCAGAACGAGAUCAAACCCAGAAGGAAAUAAGGGAGUGAGAGCAAUUCACGCGAGCGCAGGCGCGCAGUUCAAUUAACUUAAUUGCCAUGUAAUUACGCGCAACAGCAGCGGCAACAAUAACAAUAACAGCAGCAACAAGAGCAGCAACAUUAACAACAAUAACAGCAUCACCAACAAGCAAUAACAAAAGGAACAACAACAACUCAGCCAGCUUCACCAUCAUCUUCAACAUCCUGCCGCCACAGCAAAAAGCAGGCAAAAAGCAAAAAGAAAACGGAAAAAGCAAAAAGGCAAAACAAAAGACUUAAGGCACAAACCUGCUGCUGCUUUGACUGAGCCUCAUCUCUUUCUUGAACUUCUGAAGGCACUGAGAUACGAAGAGCACACAUACGCACUGUGGAAAUAUUAUAUUUUCUGGUGACAUGUCCAAGAUCGGUCUGAUACAUGCAUCACGAGCACCUUUUGGCUGGAAAUUACGUUUAGACCUGGCUAAUACUACUACUUCCCACAUUAAAGUAAACUUCCCUUCCGUUUGAUGUGAAAUCGAGAGAGAGAGAGGAGCAAGAUUAUUUUUUGAGCUGUUUAGCUAUCUGAUUUUUUCAAUUUUCUUUGAUCUGCGCCAACGUGCUUCCGAUUCGAUUUGUUUGUUCGGUUCGAUUCGGUUUGGUCUGCUUUCGUUUUUAUUGCCACUUGAGGCUGCUGCUGCUGCUGCCGCCUUUGUCUUUCAACGAAAGAAAAAUCGAGAGAAGAUCGGACAAUGCAUUUUAUUUUCUUUCUGGAGAUAAAAAGAAAAUACAAAGUAGGCGGCAACGCGCUCGGCAAACGCCCCACAAAAAGAAAAUACAAAAACUAAAUGGAGAGAAAAAGGUGAGAUGCAGCCAGAUCUAUG